rnacentral:rRNA from 1 species
ACACGUAGGGGCCUGACGUUGUUCGGAAUCAUUGGGCGUAAAGGGCGCGCAGGCGGCCGUCCAAGUCCGGCGUGAAAGACCCCGGCCCAACCGGGGGGACGCGCUGGAAACUGCAGGGCUUGAGUACAGGAGGGGAUGCCGGAAUUCCAGGUGUAGGGGUGAAAUCUGUAGAUAUCUGGAAGAACACCAAUGGCGAAGGCAGGCAUCUGGCCAUGUACUGACGCUGAGACGCGAAGGUGCGGGGAGCAAACAGGUUUAGAUACCCUGGUAGUCCGCACAGUAAACGAUGUGCACCAGGUGGCGGGGGGUCGACCCCCGGUACCGUAGCUAACGCAUUAAGUGCACCGCCUGGGGAGUAUGCUCGCAAGGGUGAAACUCAAAUGAAUUGACGGGG